AACGAACGCUGGCGGCAGGCUUAACACAUGCAAGUCGAGCGCCCCGCAAGGGGAGCGGCAGACGGGUGAGUAACGCGUGGGAAUCUACCGAGCCCUAAGGAAUAGCUCCGGGAAACUGGAAUUAAUACCUUAUACGCCCUUCGGGGGAAAGAUUUAUCGGGGUUUGAUGAGCCCGCGUUGGAUUAGCUAGUUGGUGGGGUAAAGGCCUACCAAGGCGACGAUCCAUAGCUGGUCUGAGAGGAUGAUCAGCCACAUUGGGACUGAGACACGGCCCAAACUCCUACGGGAGGCAGCAGUGGGGAAUAUUGGACAAUGGGCGCAAGCCUGAUCCAGCCAUGCCGCGUGAGUGAUGAAGGCCCUAGGGUUGUAAAGCUCUUUCACCGGUGAAGAUAAUGACGGUAACCGGAGAAGAAGCCCCGGCUAACUUCGUGCCAGCAGCCGCCGUAACAC
rnacentral:rRNA from 1 species